rnacentral:rRNA from 1 species
CAGUCGCCACGGUAAUACGAAGGGUGCAAGCGUUAAUCGGAAUUACUGGGCGUAAAGCGUGCGUAGGCGGUUUGUUAAGUCUGCUGUGAAAUCCCCGGGCUCAACCUGGGAAUGGCAGUGGAUACUGGCAAGCUAGAGUGUGUCAGAGGAUGGUGGAAUUCCCGGUGUAGCGGUGAAAUGCGUAGAGAUCGGGAGGAACAUCAGUGGCGAAGGCGGCCAUCUGGGACAACACUGACGCUGAGGCACGAAAGCGUGGGGAGCAAACAGGAUUAGAUACCCGCGUAGUCCCUGUCUCUUAUAC